rnacentral:rRNA from 1 species
GGGGUCGCGUCCUAUCAGCUUGUUGGUGGGGUGAUGGCCUGCCAAGGCUUCGACGGGUAGCCGGCCUGAGAGGGCGACCGGCCACAUUGGGACUGAGAUACGGCCCAGACUCCUACGGGAGGCAGCAGUGGGGAAUAUUGCACAAUGGGCGAAAGCCUGAUGCAGCGACGCCGCGUGCGGGAUGACGGCCUUCGGGUUGUAAACCGCUUUUGAUUGGGAGCAAGCGAGAGUGAGUGUACCUUUCGAAUAAGCACCGGCUAACUACGUGCCAGCAGCCGCGGUAAUACGUAGGGUGCAAGCGUUAUCCGGAUUUAUUGGGCGUAAAGAGCUCGUAGGCGGUUCGUCGCGUCUGGUGUGAAAGUCCAUCGCUUAACGGUGGAUCUGCGCCGGGUACGGGCGGACUGGAGUGCGGUAGGGGAGACUGGAAUUCCC